GUAUGAACGGCUACAUGAGGACGACACUGUCUCCUUUGGCUAAUCAAUGAACCUGAUCUUCUAGUACAAAAGCUAGAAUACCCACAUAAGACGAGAAGACCCUGUGGAGCUUAAAAUACUAGCACUAACCCACCACCCCCCAUCAGGCCCACCCCGCCAAAAUAGUGCACAUUUUUAGUUGGGGCGACUACGGAACCAAACAAAACUUCCAUGACUAAAAACAACCCAUUUACCAAAGGACAACAAACCAACGCACUAUUUGACCCAGUAAUACUGACCAACGAACCAAGUUACCCCAGGGAUAACAGCGCCAUCCUCUUCAAGAGCCCAUAUCGCCAAGAGGGUUUACGACCUCGAUGUUGGAUCAGGACCCCCUGGUGGUGCAACCGCUACCAACGGUUCGUUUG
rnacentral:rRNA from 2 species